UCCUACGGGGGGCAGCAGUGAGGAAUAUUGGUCAAUGGGCGGGAGCCUGAACCAGCCAAGUCGCGUGAGGGAAGACGGUCCUAUGGAUUGUAAACCUCUUUUGUCGGGGAGCAAAGAGAUCACGUGUGGUCAAAAGCGAGAGUACCCGAAGAAAAAGCAUCGGCUAACUCCGUGCCAGCAGCCGCGGUAAUACGGAGGAUGCGAGCGUUAUCCGGAUUUAUUGGGUUUAAAGGGUGCGUAGGCGGGACGGUAAGUCAGCGGUAAAAAUGCGGUGCUCAACGCCGUACAGCCGUUGAAACUGGCAG
rnacentral:rRNA from 1 species